rnacentral:lncRNA from 1 species
GAUAACAAUAGUGUGCAACCUUGCACUCUUAAAAGACUGCUUAAAUCUCAUAAAUUCCAUUCAAUACCAGGGGUAAUGGACUUCUCUCCAACCAAUCUGAAUUCACAGAAUUUCUGUAAUCACAGACUUCCUUUGUCGAAACACACAUACAACUCUCAAUAAACAACAAUCAUAAUCUUCUAUCCAUAAUCAAUCUUCCAAUAACUUCUCAUAUAAUUCAAUCACAUAAUACUCCAAUUACAUAAUCAAUAACUCAUAAAUCAAUCUUUGAUUUAUUCCACAGACUCAUUUCUCAUUAUUCAAAAACUAUCCAUUACUCUUCAACAACAAAAAAAAUAAAGAAACAAAGAGGUAGUACCAAGCUUAACCCUGGCUCAUGACUAUCACAAUCUAGCCCUCCAACAAACUUCUACAACU